CAAUAGCGUAUAUUAAAGUUGUUGCGGUAAAAAAGCUCGUAGUUGGAUUUCUACCGAAGAUAGCCGGUCGGGUCUUCGACCUUGUAUCUGGUUUUGUCUUUGGUAUCCUCAUAGGGAACGUUUCUGCGCUUUAUUGCGUGGUGCGGUAUCUGUGACUUUUACUUUGAGGAAAUUAGAGUGUUCACGGCAGGCAAACGCCUUGAAUAUAUUAGCAUGGAAUAAUAACAUAGGAUCUUCGUCCUAUUUUGUUGGUUUCUAGGGCUAAGAUAAUGAUUAAUAGGGAUAAUUGGGGGCAUCUGUAUCAACGCGUCAGAGGUGGAAUUCUUGGAUUGCGUUGCGACAAACUACUGCGAAAGCACUUGCCAAGGAUGUUUUCAUUGA
rnacentral:rRNA from 1 species